CGUGUAGGCGGCCAGGUAGGUCUGGUGUGAAAACUCGAGGCUUAACCUCGAGAUGUCAUCGGAAACCAUUUGGCUAGAGUCCGGAAGAGGAAAGUGGAAUUCCUGGUGUAGCGGUGAAAUGCGCAGAUAUCAGGAAGAACACCAAUGGCGAAAGCAGCUUUCUGGGACGGUACUGACGCUGAGACGCGAAAGCGUGGGGAGCGAACA
rnacentral:rRNA from 1 species